GACUGAUGAUGCUUUUUUUCAGUAACCUGUUUGUAGAUCAAGUGAGUGAUAUGAAACCACUGUCUUAAUAACUUAAUAACUGCCACACUUUUAACUACUGUAAAGAGCUGAGAAUGAGAAAUCGUAGGAUUUUAGCAUUCCUGUUGUUUGUAACUGCAGCAUUACACUGUGAGAUAUUGGAGGGCAUGGAUUCUAUUGAGGGAAAAUGUAAUGAUGAAAUCAUACUUCCCUGUAAAGCUACUGACCAAACAGACAAGUACCGUUAUGCCAUUUGGAGAAAAAAAAACACACACGGAGCACCGGACACUCCUAUCAUCAAGAAGAAAAAUCACAAUAUUACGCACUAUUACAUGUUAACUUCUGUGUCUCUGAAAGGGAAAGAGUCCCUGGAGUUACAUAAUGUGAUGCCUUCAGACUCUGGAGUGUAUGAGUGCUACCUUGCGGCAGAUGUUGGGGGUCGAAAUCAAGCAUCUUUAAUUAGGUUGAAUAUCUCAGAAUGUGUACAUGUGAGGACAGUUUAUCCUACCACCAUGGUCACUAACAUGUCCUGUCCUGCUGUAGUAGAAUUUUCUGUUCCCUGGGCUGUGCUCGGCCUGUCUCUCUUCAGCCUGGCCAAAAUUAUACUUUGCAUUGUAGCUGUAGGGGUGUGUGAUCAAGUCAUAUUUAAAAGACUAAGAAGAAAACAAGAUGUAAGGGGAAGCAAGAGAGAAACGUCAAGCUGUAAAGACUGAAAUUCACACAAAGCUAAUGGGGACAUUUUUAACAUAUACAUUAGCCAAGCUAAAACAAUCCAACGCUCUAAACAUUUAAAGGAUCAGUCGCACCAUUAAGUUGGGCUGAUGAGAUUCAUUUAUUUUCUGUAUGGCUUUGUUAUUCUUCCUUGCUUUUUAUAGAUGGUUUAUUCCUAGGGGAGAAGUAACUGUCCAUAAAAGUGGUUUGUUUUACAGCUGUUGAGGGAAAGAGUUGCAGAAGGUUGCUAAUAAUUAGGUCUUUAUUCUGGCAUUGCCAAAGCUACACAGUCGCAUUUUAUAUUUUCCCCUGUAGUUUACAAUUUUACAUCCUGUACAUAUUUUUGUUUUGGACUGUCAUUUGAGUAUUUUAGAUAAAACAACAGACAACACUGUUUUUAGACAACAUGACAGAAAAUGGAUUGGUCCUAUAGGGGAAAAUAUAGCAAUAUAUAUUUUAAACUCUUAAAUAGUAAAAUUUAAAGGGUUAAAUAAAGAUGGUUAACAAUAUACUCUAUCUAUCGAGCGCUCCUCCGGAACUGGACUACUGAUCGCUUGACGAGCGCCAAUGCUGUUGCACGUGUUGAGUGUUGUUAAAUUCACCGCUGAGUUUUGCGCAGAGAGGGCACAGAUGUUUACCGCCGCGAUUUUAUCAAAAAUCAUUUGGAAGGUCAGAUAAAAUUGAUUGGCAGGCCGCAUCAAAUCACUGAUUUACAUUAAAUAAAGACAUUACAUCGUACUGGGAGACUCUGAGAAGUGGUGGUAGGCAAGAAAAUCUGCCGGUACUAUGUAGAGUAAAUUAUAAGUGCAGGUACUGCAUACCACCCCACUUCAAGCACUAGUCGUUUGUAGGCUACGUUAUACAUGGUUAUUAUGCAACUGUGAAAACUGAAACUGAAAGAAGCAGUAGGCGAAAGUACGGAACAUAUCUGAUCUGACUGUCAUUUAAAUCGCAGACGAGGCAAAAUUUUUGUGUUGGUGUUUUCCUCCCGCGAGCUCUUUCUUUUAACCUAUAUAGUUUUGAUAUGAUCGUAUGAAAACCAAUGAGAUCGAUCGCGUCAUUUCUUCCUGGAUUGCUGCAAAAGUGCAAGCAAAUCGAAAAGUAAACAAAACGAAGAUCAUGCUACAAUUCCACAUUAUUAUUUGAAAUUAGAAAUUGCAUUUAAUCUUGCAUGCACACUUUCGUGUUUUGCAUUAGGUUUUGCAAAAGGUGCAAGGACGAAACAAACAACAACACGCAGAUAGCCUACUAAACUGAAACUACAGUAUAAUAUACUGUUAAGAUCGUGACGCAACUGCGUAUUCGUCUCCAAAACAGAACAGCUGCUGUGCAGCAUUCAUUUUGUUUCAUACGAUAAAUGCAUCAAAUUGUAUUAUAAUAUAAUUCCUUCAGUCAAUCUGGUUCACCAAUCACUACCAAUAGAGGAUCAAUGCUGGAUUAAAAUACCUUGUCAAGCAAAUAUCGAACGAGGUCUAAAAUACAGGAAAAUCACCUGGUACAAUGUUUGUGUUUUCAACAAUACCAUUUAAAAUGUGCACUAACAUGUUUGGUGAACUUGCAGUGUCUACUGGUUUAGGCACUGUUCUAUACGUGCAGCUAAUUUCACCUGUAAAUAUUUAUGAUCACUCAGUCAGAUUUAAGAGCCAGAAAUCCAAGAGAAUGAUUUGAUUGUAUAAGGAGAAAUGUACUUCCUGGGGGAGUGUACUAAAAGUGCAACAAAUCUAUUUUUAACAGGUCGAAGAGGGCUCUGAUGUUUUGACUGGACUUCUUUUAAAGGACCUGAAUAAAAACAUUACAACCCUCUUUAAGUUUGUUAAGCAUUCCUAUUAGGAGGAUAACUCUCUCCUGAUACCUGGUAUUGCUGGAGAAAACUGUGGCCUUUACAAAUGUACCCUGUGGCCUCCACUAGGUCAUUAUAUUCAGGAAGGAGACUAUGAAUAUUAUUCAACAGAUUGCACAAAAUCUCAACAGCAAACGGUAAGCAGCAGGAAAGACGCUCAACCUGUCAAGAAUCAUUUAAAAAUCUUAAUUAUCCCAUGUAUUCUUUUGGCUUGUGCUGUUGUUAUUAUGUUUCUAAACUACAAAAUGAUAAAGACACCUAAAGGAAAAGCUAAUGUUAAAGAAAAACUUGUGCAAGCUGAUGAAAACCUUUAGGAACAUAGUUUGCUUCUAUGUUCAUAGGAAGUAAGUGAGUGUCAUUGAACUUAAAUUUACUGUAGCUUUACAUAAGGUGCUAUUUCGUUUGUUUCUAAUUUACAGCAUUUCUUAACAUUGAAUGAUUUAAAAUUUAAUUUAAAUAUUAUACAAAUAAACAAAAUACUUAAGAUUGUCCUGUUACGUCUCUGGGUGUAUGUAAGUGUAACCUUUUAUUUGUUUAUAUUACUUGUUCAUUUUUUAGUCACAUCCAUGUAUAGAAAUUUCGACAAUUUUAUGUUAUUUAAUACU